UACGUAGGGUGCGAGCGUUAAUCGGAAUUACUGGGCGUAAAGCGUGCGCAGGCGGUUCGCUGUGUCCUGUGUGAAAUCCCCAGCUUAACCUGGGAACUGCAUCCGAUACUGGAUGGCUUGAAUUCGGGAGAGGGAUGCGGAAUUCCAGGUGUAGCGGUGAAAUGCGUAGAUAUCUGGAGGAACACCGGUGGCGAAGGCGGGUCUCUGGGCCGAAUUGACGCUGAGGAGCGAAAGCGGUGGGAGCAAACAGGG
rnacentral:rRNA from 1 species